GAAGAUUUUUGAAGAGAUGCAAAGUAUAUUAUUAGGUGAGGGGCUAAGAGAAAGAUGGGAUUCUUGGGUUUGUGAAGGGGUUGGAGGUGGUUUUCAUGGGGAGAUCGUUGAGGGAAUUGGAAGACAAUAAAACUUUUUAGAGAGAAGGGAGAGAGGGUGAGAAAGAGGGCAAAGAUAUGCUUGUGCUUAUGAUUAAUUAAUAAGU
rnacentral:misc_RNA from 1 species